UUCCAGUGGCGCGCGCAGUACCUCAGGCCUUGUGGUGCUGCUGCUCUGUGGGGGAGUUGGGGCAGGUGCUGCUGUCAUGAGGUCCCGUGCACUUUGUCAUCCCAGGACAAAACCCAGAAUUUUCCUUGAAGUGCUUAUGGACAGCAGGAUUUUCUGUUUGUGGAUAAACACAAGAAGCAACAAGCCUGUGGUUCUGAAUGGCCUAGGAACUGUUCUUUCCAGAGAUAGGAAAACCUUGACAGUGUUCAGGAGCUCAGACAGGAAGAUCUUCAGCUGUGAGCUGAGUCAGCAGGAUCUCUAGUCAGACAGUGAACCUCUUUCCCUGCGAGAUAGUGAAACCCCAUGACGUUUAGCCUGACGGGAGAGAACUUUGCUUUCAGUGUGCCACAUCGCUCUGCUUCACCUCCCAUCUUUCCCUGCAAGCAGGAAGCAGCCCUCUUGAAUGUAAUUUCUAUUGAAAGCAAAUGGUGUCUAUGUCUGAUUAGUUCUGGCUUGAGGCUGUAUCAACAAGCGCACUGUUGGUCCUGCAUUUGCAGCCUGGAAUAUUUUAGGGCACUUGAGUCUGACAGAUUCAUGUUUAUUACAUUAAACCAUUUU
ensembl:lncRNA